GAUCAUGGCUCAGAUUGAACGCUGGCGGCAUGCUUUACACAUGCAGGUCGAACGGCAGCACGGAGAGCUUGCUCUCUGGUGGCGAGUGGCGAGCGGGUGAGUAAUACAUCGGAACGUGUCCGUUUGUGGGGGACAACCAUCCGAAAGGAUGGCUAAUACCGCAUAAGACCUGAGGGUGAAAGCCGGGGACCGCAAGGCCUGGCGCGAACGGAGCGGCCGAUGACUGAUUAG
rnacentral:rRNA from 1 species